rnacentral:rRNA from 1 species
UUGACAUGUCCGGAACUUGCCAGAGAUUGGGCUUUGGGUGCCCGGAAAAGGGGAAUCGGAACACAGGUGCUGCAUGGCUGUCGUCAGCUCGUGUCGUGAGAUGUUGGGUUAAGUCCCGCAACGAGCGCAACCCUUAUCAUUAGUUGCUACGCAAGGGCACUCUAAUGAGACUGCCGGUGACGAAACCGGAGGAAGGUGGGGAUGACGUCAAGUCCUCAUGGCCCUUAUGGUAGGGCUUCACACGUCAUACAAUGGUCGGUACAGAGGGUUGCCAAGCCGCGAGGCGGAGCCAAUCCCACAAAGCCGAUCGUAGUCCGGAUUGUUCUCUGCAACUCGAGAGCAUGAAGUCGGAAUCGCUAGUAAUCGCAGGUCAGCAUACUGCGGUGAAUUACCGGUUCCCGGGUUCUU